CAUUUUGAAAUUUGAAUUUCCGAAAUUCCGCCAGUAGCCAUCGAAUUUCCUUCGAUAUUUCGUUUUUGAAUUCGUAUAUUCGAAUAAUUGUGAAUUUCGCGAGUUUUCGAAUCUUUUAAUUUGCAGAUCCACGUUCACCGAUAGUCACUGCGGCGAAAAAUACCCAACUGAGUACGAAUUUUCUCCAGCAUUUCGAUUUCCACUGCACCGGAUCACCGUCAGAAGAUAGGUGACUUGUCCAGCAGAAUCAGCGGUCGUGAUGGACGCUUUCAGACUCCUUCUCCUCGCAUUGGACACAGCAGCAUUGAAUCUUGCGAAAGUUCAUCCAGCGAUGAUGAUUCAGACGCUGAAAUAUCGAAUUGGAGAUGUUUUAUGCUGUUGCUGAUGCUGAAAGGAGUACGUUAGUUGGAGAUUUAUUUGACGAGAGUAAUUAUUCGAUUCUGAUAAUCCGCCGUUGUUAUUAGACACUGUAAACGUAAUAGUUUCGAUUAGUUUACCUCAGUUUGGGUUCUUACGACUUCGUUGAAUGAAGAAAGUUUGGCUUUGCGGUGAGUAAACAAUUCAUCUCUUUUACCGAAUAACAAAAGAUGAUAGGUAUUCGUGGAUAGGUUAUUCCCAACAGAACCUUCUCACCAGUCACCGGUAUCAAAUUCCACUCUCCAGUCCAGUUCCUACGUCGUCUACCAAAUUCCAAACAACCCCAGCACCCUGACUGAGCUUCGGUAAUUCCAUUUUCAAACAAUUCAACCAAAGUUAACAUCAUUAAGUGCCAGUUGACUGAUGACACGCCUUUUUCAUCUCCGCCACCUCACACGUAGCAAAACUGAUUAUCUCAU